rnacentral:tRNA from 1 species
GUGGCGAGAGCGUCGGUGAGUGACGCCCCCCUUUCCCAAAGGGGGGCUGGGGGGGAUUUCUCCGCCGGGAGUUGCACGCCAACCUGGGCAAAUCCCCCCCGCCCCC